rnacentral:tRNA from 1 species
GGCGCCGUAGCCAAGUGGUAAGGCAGCGGACUGCAAAUCCGUUAUUCGGCGGUUCGAAUCCGCCCGGCGCCUCCA